rnacentral:sRNA from 1 species
AGGAAAAUGACCGAAAGGGAAGACAAAGGGGUCCAAAGAAAAUCGGGUUAAAAU